rnacentral:rRNA from 1 species
UACGAAGGGGGCUAGCGUUGCUCGGAAUCACUGGGCGUAAGGGGUGCGUAGGCGGGUCUUUAAGUCAGGGGUGAAAUCCUGGAGCUCAACUCCAGAACUGCCUUUGAUACUGAAGAUCUUGAGUUCGGGAGAGGUGAGUGGAACUGCGAGUGUAGAGGUGAAAUUCGUAGAUAUUCGCAAGAACACCAGUGGCGAAGGCGGCUCACUGGCCCGGUACUGACGCUGAGGUGCGAAAGCGUGGGGAGCAAACAGG